GUUCCUGAUGCCCAGAGUUCUGGGCUCCUUGCCUUGCUGGAUCAUAUUAUCAUUAUGCUAAGCCAGUGGUUCCUCAUUUACUAUGGAGUAAAUGGAAAAAACAUCCCAAACACAGCAUCACAUGGAAUGUGGUUCAAAAUACUGACUGGAGACAUUCCAAGAAAUCUUUAUCUCUAAAGGACAUAGAUACCUCAGUAUUCUUUGGCUUCUGAAGAAUGAGAUCACAUCAUCAUUCUCUACUCUGUGCUGUGGUCCAGAAGCUGACCUCUAUGGACUAUUUUAACCAGUUUCCCAUCACUUUGGCGUCUGGAGAAAUUUAGAAUUAGAUGCCCAAAGUCCAUGAAGCUGAAAUCUUCAGUGCCUUUCAGGCCUAUCAAUCUCACCUGUUCACCAGCUUGGGAUUCCCCAAUGAUGAAACGAUCUCCUGGGCCAUCAGCAGCUGUGAGAUGGAAAAGAGCCAAGAACAAACAUCAGUAUGGACCUAUAGCAUGGAACAAGAACCUAAAAUUGGAAUUCUAAAAUUUGACUCAAAUUAUUUGAUAAGACUUAGAGAAGUGGAAUAUUUUUCUGAUCUCCUAGACUUGACAAUGGCUUUGUUACUACUGGUUUAAUGUUUGGUAUCUGCAACUCACAUGCACUGAUAGAAGUGGUCCUAAUUGUACCACUGGUGCCUAAUUGUGCCAUGGUGUCACUGGAGAUGGUCUUCCUGUCACCUCGUAAUUUCCACAUUUGUGCUUUUCUAAUAAGUUAUUCUAGCCGAUCUUCCUAAAUAAAUACCACCU